rnacentral:rRNA from 1 species
GUGGGGAAUAUUGGACAAUGGGGGGAACCCUGAUCCAGCCAUGCCGCGUGUGUGAAGAAGGCCUUUUGGUUGUAAAGCACUUUAAGCGAGGAGGAGGCUACCGAGAUUAAUACUCUUGGAUAGUGGACGUUACUCGCAGAAUAAGCACCGGCUAACUCUGUGCCAGCAGCCGCGGUAAUACAGAGGGUGCGAGCGUUAAUCGGAUUUACUGGGCGUAAAGCGUGCGUAGGCGGCUUUUUAAGUCGGAUGUGAAAUCCCCGAGCUUAACUUGGGAAUUGCAUUCGAUACUGGGAAGCUAGAGUAUGGGAGAGGAUGGUAGAAUUCCAGGUGUAGCGGUGAAAUGCGUAGAGAUCUGGAGGAAUACCGAUGGCGAAGGCAGCCAUCUGGCCUAAUACUGACACUGAGGUGCGAAAGCAUGGGGAGCAAACAGGAUUAGAAACCCUAGUAGUCC